GUGAAAUGGAAUCAGCGUUAGGACAUGCGAUUUUACGCUGAUUUCAUCUCAUGA
rnacentral:pre_miRNA from 1 species